CCGGGUCGUGGUGAGAGUCCCGUCCAGUCCGGAGGAGUCGCGAGGCAGAGAGUCGCUGCUGCUGCUGUUUGUACUAGGGUAAGAGUGGGGAUAGGGUUGGGUGAAAAUGGUACGCUCACCAACCCGGCGAUCUCCACGGCCGAGGUCCCCAAGGCCUAGGUCACCCAGGCCGCGAUCCCCUAGGCCUAGGUCUCCGAGGCCUAAAUCUCCUCGAAGGAGAUCUCCUGUGCGCCGCCCAGCCUCACCACGGGUAAGAACUAUACAGCCAGAGCACUCGCGUUUUCACUUAAUCAAAAGAGACCAAAAGCUGUAAAUUUCAUGAAGAUUUGUGAGGCCAUUUCUUGUUGUAAUUAUUAUUAUUAUUUUUUUUUUUUCUGUUAGCUAGUGAUUGUUCUUUUUUAGGCAUUUUCCAGACUAGCGUAUAUUUGAGGUUAUCUUUUUUUUCUUUUCUUUAUUUGUUUUUCCUUCAGAUAAAAGAUAGGUUAGCCUUUCUCUGUGAGGUUUUACUUUUUAUUUUUUUUUAUUUAUUUAUUUAUUUUUUUAAGUUUCCCCCCCUUGUAGCAGGGAUAGAACUUUUGAGGAUAGCACAGGAAGGUUUUAAUGUAAUUUAGCAUAAUUUAUUAAAACCUCAAAGUGGCCUGACAAUUCUGAAUGCAGAGGAAGUAUGAGUGUAAGGCGUAGGUCUCAUCGCUUACCCACUUCUGGCUGUCAGAGAGGAUUUUAAUUAUAAGCUAUGACUGUGAAAUGUGGCUGGACCUCUUUCAGCUCAAGGUCCUUUUUAAACUUUCCCCUAACGGAACCUCGCAAAUCCUGGAUCGUUCGUCGUACCUCUAAAGAUAUUGCGGUCGGGUUAACGCCAGGAUGCAAGCAGUGACUUCAAGAGACAUUGGCAAUAAAGUGGUUUAAAAAAAAAAAAAAAAGGAAAGACAUUUUAUGGCUGUAAGCGUUUUUUCUCGGACACUAAUUUCGCACCUUGCGCGUCGGGAUAAGACUUAUUGAGUUAGUGGUGAACGUGUGGAACUUUGAUGAUUGAGCCAUUGUUACUUAGUGUGAAGGACUGCGUUUUUACGGUGGAGAUUUUGACAAGACUUUACGGAAUGAUUUGAACUAGUAAUAAAAAAAAAAAAAUGCAAGAACUGGACUUGAAAUGUUCAAAUUUGUGUGGAAGUAAAUACGUUUUGGAACUUUAAUGUGAUAGCAUUUAUCAUACUGACUUCCAAUUCUUCCGAGCGGUGGUUUGUGUGUGUGUCAAGAAGACAAGUGCAAAAAAAAAAAAAAAGUUCAGAUAACAUCAGCAACCAUGUUAGUGCAUGUGAUGUUAUAGUUUGAAUAGUGUGAUGGUACGCAAAGGAAGAAGCGUUCUUUUACUCAGAAUCGUAUUCCGAAACAAGGCGUGCAUAAUAAACCCAAAAUUUCCUGUGGCAGUGGAACCUGAAAAGUAUGUUUCAUGGAACUUUUGCUAAGGGUAAUGUGCAGAGUGAAACCAGAAGUGGAUUUGAUGUUAUAAUGAUUGAGAUUUAAUUUUUUAAAAAUGGGAGGAGGCAUUGAAUGGGAUUCUAGUCAUUUGGGCUUAAAAAUGUAACUUUCAGUCUUGGGGAAAGUGAUGUAAAGUAGUAUUGACUCAAAUCCUCAUGGAAAACUCAGCUCAUUAUAAAUUUAUGCGCAAAAGGGACAGUGCGGAACUCAGACCGACUCUUUCAUUUCUCAGAAAGAAGUACAUGACUAUGAGUGUGAUAAAAGUUGAUGCGGUGAACACUGACAAAGCAAAUCUCCAAUGCUUACUGAGAGAGAGAAGAAGGAGCAAAUGCGAGGAAACGCAUAGCCUGGUCCCGGUCACGAGUUGACCAUGGGAACACAGCUGGAGGCUGCAACCUGCUGAUUAAUAGCCCCUCAGUGUGCAGGUCUCAAGGCACUAACCUGCACCUGAGCUUACCAAUAUGGCUAAGGUUGUUGCCCUCAUGGCCUUGUGUUGGAAGUCCAAGAGGCCAUGCAGUGUAUGCUGUGGUCCGCACAGGGUCCACUGGCAAGGUCAUAUUACCAUGGCCACUUGCUGAGUACACUGACAAGGCAUUAAAUACUUUAUGCUCAUUGUACUCAAAUUUUUGGUGUGGUGAGUAUGGAUAAAGGAGAGAGGUGGUUAGUGCUUUUCUUUUUUUAUAUUGUUUUUUUGAUCAUUUUGUAAUUGAACCCCUUUUCAUACAUGUUAAUUUUAUUGACUUUUAUUAUUUU